GUUUUUAUAGUUGAAGAUACAACAGGGGUUUUUCGUACCCCAGGUCUUGGUCUAAGUCCAGGUGAGAAUA
rnacentral:tRNA from 1 species